rnacentral:rRNA from 1 species
GACGAACGCUGGCGGCGUGCUUAGCACAUGCAAGUCGAACGGAAAGGCCCUGCUUUUGUGGGGUGCUCGAGUGGCGAACGGGUGAGUAACACGUGAGUAACCUGCCCUUGACUUUGGGAUAACUUCAGGAAACUGGGGCUAAUACCGGAUAGGAGCUCCUGCUGCAUGGUGGGGGUUGGAAAGUUUCGGCGGUUGGGGAUGGACUCGCGGCUUAUCAGCUUGUUGGUGGGGUAGUGGCUUACCAAGGCUUUGACGGGUAGCCGGCCUGAGAGGGUGACCGGCCACAUUGGGACUGAGAUACGGAGCAGUCGCCUACGGGAGGCAGCAGGGGGGAAUAUUGCACAAUGGGCGGAAGCCUGAUGCAGAAACGCCGCGUGCGGGAUGACGGCCUUCGGGUUGUAAACCGCUUUCGCCUGUGACGAAGCGUGAGUGACGGUAAUGGGUAAAGAAGCACCGGCUAACUACGUG